UCAAGAAUGAGAGUGAAGGAUAUACUUCUUUUAAAUGAACACUAAGGAGUAAAGAUACAAGAAUGAUCCAAUUAGUACAAUGUUACAAAAUUGAAGGAGAUAAUAUUUCUCCAUGUACUCUAUGUCUCAGAUGUACAUUCUUAGCUUUGCACAAAAAGGGAACAAGAGCCAAGAUUAUAAGAAUUUCUACUUUAGAAAGAAAGCAUAGAGAAUGAUAUGAGCAAAGACUCCAUCUCUUAUCUCUCUCGAUUUUCCUUCCACAAAGCUCCAAGGAGGCAGUUGUUGUACCUACAAUAUUUACACCAAAAGGGCAUCAAAAUUUUGUCACAUAAAAAAAGGAGAAAGGAGACACAAGCCAAAGAGGAUAGGGGAAUGGAAACCUCUCAUCGAGGCUGGAGAAACUGCCAAGGAGGGGCUGUUUUCUCCCAAGAAUUUCACCAUUCUAGCAUAAUCACAGAAUCACAAAACUCAAAAAGGAAGCCAACACUGCAGCCUCAAAAUAGAAAUUGGAGCUCCCCAAUGCCUUACACCAAGGAGGCAAGAGGCUUAUGUGAUGCUAAAAAGGGGAAGGAACCCAUAGCUUGAAAUAGAAGAGCAUCCUUCCCAAUGCUAACACCAAAGGGGUAGUAAAAGCUUUUAUCACAAAUCCAAAAGUGAAGGAAUCUUUAUCCCAAAUUAGACACAAAAUGCCAAGGAGUUUUGGCUAUAAAUACCAGCCCACCACCACCUCCUUCCUCACACCUCUCUAAAUUCACAAAUUCACAAGAAGUGCAGCAAGAGAGGAAGGAGUGGCGGCGAGCUUAAGGGCAGUCCGGUGUUCGAAGGAGUCAUCGAGAAAGAGGUUAUCUCCGCGAGCUAAGGUCGGAGUCAGGAAAAAUCAAAUUAAGGAGUUUUAAGCGAACGAGGUUGAGCAGUGAUGACGCCAGGCGGUGUUGAGCAUAGACGAUGAAGAUCCUUCGAUAAGAAUAGUACUCGGAUGCGGCGUGUCUCCAUACACGACGUCAUCUACUCUUGACUCUUCCGCUGCAAUGUAAAAAAAUCGAGUUUGCACUCUGUAUCAUGCACUCUGAUAUAUACUAUUUGAGUUAUUUUGGUUCAA